AAUUUAAGGUCGUGCAGAAGAAAAAGAUACGACCACGACUCGCAGGUUCAUAUGGCAUAUGAAGGCCCGCCGAGCUACUGUGCUUGAGCUAUCUCUCGGAGGAAAGGUUGCAUUAGUCCAGGUUAACCUGUUUAUGAUGUGUUUUUUUCUGCUGUAACACUCGACCCAGGAUGAAGUUUGUUCUUAUCCUGCAAAUGGCAAUCUUCUUGACCGUGUUAAGCUCGGUCGCAGGGUGUCAGGGAGGUUCAUCAAAACCAAGCAGUAACAGCAACACUGGGAAGUGUGGUCUUGGCACCUGUGCAGGAGCGAAUUUGGCUGCCACCAUAGCAACCCUCCUCGCUCCAGGAAGAGAGACAGCUCCACCUGACAAGAUUGGCCCUGGGGCUACGGCCGAAGGAAGAGAAGGUCUCUUCGAGCAAAGAAAAAUCUUCUGUCACUGGUAGCUGGAAGAAGGGCGGCAGGUUGAUAUAAACCGGCCAGGUUAUAUCUGCCCAACAGCGGGCAACUUUGCGCUGGAAGUCACACCGAGCUGUACAUUUCUGCGCUCGGAAAAUAAAAAUGAAAGCAUU